CACUGAGCAACAUAUUACACAAUCAGAAACGAAAGAAAGAUCCAUACGCUAAUUAAAUCACAAAAUAAAUUAUCUUCCCAUCAGAUCGAACCGAGAUCUCUAGCUUAAGCAAUUGACGAUCCUAUCCACAGUAUUCAGGUGUACAUAAGCUCCUAUCCACACUAUCCAUGUGUGCGUAAGCUCUAGUAAAAUGAGAUCCAUCGUUCUACUUGCACAUUUAGCUUAGCUCCAUAAAAUAAAGAUGAGACGAAGCACAACCUUCCUGAAACCACAAAACAGAAAGUACCAAACAGUAAUAAAGCGAAUUGAUAGCCACAAAAAUGUUUGUUGGAAAUUUCUGCAAACAAGUAGGAAAAGCAGUAAAGGUAUUUAAAAUAGAUUAUAAAAAAACUUGUGAUAUAAAGUUAGAAAAAUAAGGAGGAUGAGGGAGAGAGAGAGAAAGCAAGAUUGAACCAUAUCUGGAACUGACGUGUCUCAGAGCUGAAUUCCUACUUUAAUACAACACCUGUGGAUCAACACAGUCCAAAGCAAAGGUCGAAAGUCGAGAAAUAUCAUAUCUUGCACAUAUAUAUAUCAUAAGGAGAAUCAAAUCUUAAUCGGCAGAACAGAGAGAAGGUUCUUCAUAUGAGACAAAUAGGUUGAACAUCCAGUGGCAGACGAAAGUUUACCGGACACUCUGUUUAGAAUUGUCAUAUAAACACAAUCAUGACGAGGGGAGAACAUACUCGUAUUCAAAGCGCUUUCUUCUACAAGGAAUCUUUUUGAGAAAAAAACAAAUCAGCCGAUUACCGAAACCCUGGCAAGAGAAAACACAAUCCAAACGCAAAACCCAUGUUAAUAAACCACUUGUUAAUGCAUACGAAAACCACACCUAAUACCUCGCCGGAUCAAAAUUACCAAAAUAAAACCAAUUCAGAAUCACAAUCAGACGAACGACCCCGAAUCCAUGACGAUCCAAUUGUCAAACCGGCAAAAUAACCCCAAAUAAAAUCAAAUCAGGACCACAAUCAGACGGUAUCGCGAAAGAGAAGAAAAAACACGCGACGGAUAAUCAUUGAAUUGAAUUGCGCAGGUUUCAUAGCGACGAUGAUACAUAUAAUCUAGAAAAACGGAGACGACAAAUAAACAAAAGCAAUAAUCAAACAAAACUCUAAAAUCCGCAGAUAACCAACAAAGACGAGAGACGAAGGAAUGAGUUACGGUUGUAGGAGGGGACGGGUAUUUAUAGAAGAGUCGGUGUUGAGUGGACGGCUGAGAUUAAUCGGAUCAAAGAUACCAAAUGGUUGGACAACCACCGUCAUUUUUGUCGCAAGUU
rnacentral:lncRNA from 1 species